AGUCUGUAGCGUCGACCACAUGGUAUUAAUUUCUUUUUUUUCCCCGUCGCUCAGCGAGUUAUGUUCCUAUCUGUUUUAGUUUACGCGUUUUUACUUACACAACUCGUACGGGCGUGUUUGCGACAGCUUUCCCGGAGAAAUUGCAUUUUGGCUAAACUUCGUUCUCAUCAAAAGGCCUGAAAGGACAUUUCUUCGGUGGUGGAGCCCAACGGAAUGACGAAGUAAAUUUGCCGCCCACCGGCACUGAUGCGCUAGGCCAACGCCCCAGGUAGCAAUCUGGGGGCGAGGACUUACGGAGUCGCCAUCUGUCGGAAGCGCCCUAGUUGCGUAGUAUGCUCCUUCCUCACAGCAGGCUAUCCGCGCUGUUGCUGCCGUGCGGUCCCGUGCUCCUGGGAAGCAUGCCGCUACGUGCUCUAUCUUGCGCGCACGUCUAGAAAGGCUUGGCAAUAUAAUUGAUCCCUACGGUGACACGUCGCGCCGAAGCACCUCCGCUGGAGAUGAAACAGCCGUCGUCAGCGCCUUCCCCAGAUCGUGGCGACGAUAUAGGUGCGCGCGCGGUCUAUGCGUGGCGAGUGCCCAGGAGAACGUUUUCUGCAGGGAGGUGACAGAUGUCAUUGCUAAAGGAAAGGAUGGCUGCAUUACACGGCAUAUUUUCCCAGCAUGUCUGAAUCCUGAUGGCCUCAAGACGGCUUACUUCGCUUUCCGGGAGCUCGGCAUGGAAAUAGAAGGAGAGCUACACAAAUCGUCAAAAGCAUUCCAUACACUCGAUGCCACCAGUGGACACGAAGUCGACGCUGGCACGGCGGUGUCCCCACGGUGUUCCACGGCGGCUUCCUGGAGCUCCCUUGUCACAAGGUUUUUCAGCCAGAUCAUCUGACCAGAUGCCUGAUGAACUGUGGCCAUAAAGCGCGGAUCAAGAAACAUGCCUAGGCUGGCCACUUCAUCAAAUUUCCACUCCGCACAAAGAGCCUUGAUACAUUUUGAAUCAAUGUUAGCAAACCCUGAGUUGCC